ensembl:lncRNA
ACCACAGACAUCCAUCAGAAGCUCCCUGGAGGAUCUUUUGAGUUUUCCUAAAGAUAAAUUGACUUGUUCAUGGAACUGUACACUACAUCUUUCUUUAUACAGCGUAGAGAUGUGUGUCACAGCUAUUAUGGAUUGCAUUUAAUAUAUAUAUUUUCACAGUUAUGAAUCCGAAUGACUUCUCACAGUCAAUCCAGGAGUAGAUAGUGCGACACUCUGAAUGUGGAAAGAACAGUCAAAGUCUUAGACUUGGGAUUAUGGGUGCAAUAAUUUUUGUGCCGUUACUAGUAGGAGUAGCAGCAGGAAUAAUAUACACAUUCAGGCUCCUUCAAAAGAAAUACAACUGAUUUGUUUGGUAAGACAGUGUUGUUUAUUUACAUAUAAAAAAGGUGUCUUAACUGGUUUGGCUUCAAAUUAACAUCUAGACAAUUUUUUGUUCUUUAGGUCCUUCAGGACAAGAUCAGGUGUGUUAUUUCUCCAUAUUUAUCUCCACUUUUAAAGCUAAUUUUUACGUAGUAUUUAAGAAGUUUCCACUUUUGUCAAUUAACAGACUUUUUUACCAUUAUAAUAGGAAUACCACGUACAGGAGUCAGAAAGAGGUGAAAUUCAUCACUCAGGUUCCAAAGGAAUGUCUUAAAGCACUGAAUGGCUCAACUGAGCAGGGAUCAGUUAGUGGCACUUCAGAAGACACCACACACACACACACUUUCAGAACCGCUUGUCCCAUACAGGGUCACAGGGAACCGGAGCCUAACCCGGUAACACAGAGCGUAAGGCCGGAGGGGGAGGAGACACACCCAGGACAGGACACCAGUUCACCGCAAGGCACCCUAAGCAGGACUUGAACCCCAGACCCACCAGAGAGUAGGACUGUGGUUCAACCCACCGCGCCACUGCGCCACCGCACCCCCUGAUCAAGAGACACCAGUUCUUGCAUUUUUAAACAGAACAAACAAUAGGAAACCUGUGAAAAAUUUGGAGAAAUGCUUUUUUUGAAGUUCUCAGACUGCUACUGAGAGUUUUAGGAGGAUUUUGCAACAGAUUCAUCAUGGUCUGGAGAAGUCAAAACAAGUAUCAGAGAAUGAGUUGGCAUCAACUUCUGGGUUCUAAGAGAUACUUGCACUUUAAGGCUUGGCAGUAGUGGAUAAUGACUUUUUCCUCAGACUUGGUGCCAUUUCUAAAAUGUCAUCGUCCAUAUUGCAGAUCCAGAAAUUAUUCUGCAGUAUAACGGACACCCUUAGUCCAUUCUGUUGUUUUACUGUACAGCACUUUAUGUCCACUGGCUUUCAUUGUUACAUGUAUUUGUGUGCAAUAUGACUUUAUUUACCUACAUGUCUUUAUCUGUACAAGCAUGUGUAUCAGCUUCAGAUUGAUAUUUGUGCCUAAAUUUCAUAACAUACUAGUUACAGCUAUGAGUGUUGACCUGGAUGUAUUUUAUUUCCCUUGAAAAAAAAAAUUUAUAAGAUGUGUUUUUGAUUUGAAGAACACUUAUGCUGUGUUCUGCAGAGAACAUUAGAAAACUGUUAAAUGAAGAUACCUUAAUGAUCAGGGGUAUUUACCUGAGAGCUGGUUGUCUAGUGGUGUAGAGGUGUUUAAGAUUUAAGUUGUGGGUUAUGAGUAGACAGGACAACAAAUGGUGCAAAUGAAUGAAAUGAGUGUGUUUUUAAUGUUCUGCUGAAAGAGAAAAUAAAGUGUACAAAAUAAAGACA